AGCUCGAUGGUCGAGUGGUUAAGACGUCCGCUUUAGAAAGCAGGAGGUCGUGGGUUCGAGUCCCACUCGAGUAC